CUUCAAGAAAGUUAGAAGUGCGCGGCGCGUGUUAAAAGUCGAGUUAUAGUUAUUCCUUAAAAGCUAAUUGUUAAAAAGCUUAAAAUAAAGUGUUAGUAGUGCAGUUAGUAAAUUAUUAAAGGGUGCUGUGUGGCUAAUAAAAGCGGUUCGCAUUCCAAGGGAAUUGCGUGCAAUUGAACCUAGUGGAAAAAGGCCUAACGGGGCCUUUUUCCAUUUGUUUAGGCCAGUCGUCUGGAUUUUCGGGAGAAACUGGUCCCAAACGCCCAACUUGCAUCUAUUUUGGAAUUUUCCAGAACAAAUCAAAUCCCUGAGCCAGAAAUCUUCCCUGCUGGUACUCCUUUGGGGUAAAUAGCAGAAGAGGGAUCCUCGACAUCACCAUUGUCCAACCACGUUUUUGGGACUUUUGUUAGACCAUUCUGAUCCGGAGUUCGACGCCAUUGUUGGAGACGCCAUCUUGAAUCGACAGGCCGAA